UACGAAGGGGGCUAGCGUUGUUCGGAAUUACUGGGCGUAAAGCCUGCGCAGGCGGCUUCUCAAGUCAGGGGUGAAAGCCCAGAGCUUAACUCUGGAAUUGCCUUUGAGACUGAGAGGCUUGAGUACGGGAGAGGUGAGUGGAAUUCCCAGUGUAGAGGUGAAAUUCGUAGAUAUUGGGAAGAACACCGGUGGCGAAGGCGGCUCACUGGCCCGUAACUGACGCUCAUGCACGACAGCGUGGGGAUCAAACAGG
rnacentral:rRNA from 1 species